UACGUAGGGACCAAGCGUUGUCCGGAAUCACUGGGCGUAAAGGGUGCGUAGACGACAUGUUAAGUUCGUUGUUAAAGGCUCCGGCCUAACCGGAGUACCGCGAUGAAAACUGGCGUACUAGAGGGUGAGAGAGAGAAGUGGAAUUCCUGGAGUAGCGGUAAAAUGCGUGGAUCUCAGGAGGAACACCAAUGGCGAAGGCAGCUUCUUGGCUCAUUCCUGACGUUGAGGCACGAAAGCGUGGGGAGCAAACAGG
rnacentral:rRNA from 1 species